UCAUUUAAAAUUACUUAUUUGUUUACUUUUUUUCAUGAUAAAGGCCGAUCGUUAACAAAAAGAAAAUGACUCCUGAGCGUUGGUACUAGUAUAUUUUAUAUGGUCUUUCUGGUUGUUGUAAUACUAGAUUUUCAUCUGUGCUGUAUGACUUCCUUUACUUCCAUCUAAUUCAAGUUGUAUCGCCUCCUUGUGGUUUUGACAGUGGAAGAAUAAACGCAC
rnacentral:lncRNA from 1 species